GUGACAUGCUCCAAAGUGCUGCCAGACACGCUCCUCACCCGUUGGACCGAGACCGUCGAGACCGUUCCCACGGUGCCGCGGGAGGCUGUGACCACACCUGUGACCCGCUCGCUGUCCGCCCGUCCUCCAGCCGAAACCAGCUGAAUCACCAACCACUUCGACCACAGUGAAACAGCAGAAGGAUGGUAUAGACUCGUCCUGCAGCCCCCCUCUUUACCAGGCCCAGAGCGUCACAAGCUUCCACACAGCGCCCUCUAGUGGAGCCCUGCCGCCGGUGCAGCCUGCCACCAUGGAUCUGGUCAACAACCGAGGCCUGAACCUCAUGCUCAACUUCAUGCUCAUCGUGGUGGUCCUGCUCCUCAUGCUCAUCCUGGUCAAGCUCCUGUGAGCCGGACCCCGCCCUCAAACCACUGUCAUGACUUAACUCGGCCAAUGAGAGCCGGGAAGCACGGAUAACACAGCCCGCCAGCAGGGGGAGCUGCACGGAUUCAAACACUGUGAGGCCGGGUGCGCUGCCUGAAGCGAAGAAGAACCUCGGGAAUGGCUUUGCAGGAUGUGUGGGCACUUACUGAACCCCGUAGGGAGGUAAUAUUAGGUAGCUUUGGUUUGAUAAAAUAAACAAUCACCCUCAACAAAAUUUUACUUCUUCACAUUAACUGAGAUCAGAGAUUAAAAGAGUUUGCAAUGAACAACCUGUAAGCCUUGGUGACAGCAUUAACAUAUAAUUAUAUAAACCCAAGCGAUUUUAUUCACAGCUGCAUCAACAGUGUUUUCAAACUGAAGAGCAUAUCCCCAAUGCUAGUGACUCCAUCUAGUGGUAAAGAGGUUACCUACAUGAAAUUAUUUUUUGUCCUUUGAUUAAAUGACUUCCCUGUCACAUCUGUUCUAAAUAAUUUGGUGUAAAUAAGAUCAAUUUUAUCAAGUCAGACCCUUUGCUGUAUGUUGGUUUUCCGUCCUCAAAUCGAACACUUUGAGAGAAAUGACACCUUGAUGUAAAUGCUAACCAAAAGUCAUAGAAGCAGCAGUAUAAAUAGCAACAAAACCAAAUUAGCAUUUAUCACAGAUGUAGCAUAAUGGCUGUACAGUGUACAGUCUUCUGUGGUGGUGUCCAAGUGAUAACAGAGGCACCAAUGCUAUAAGACAGCCUCGCGCUGUUUGAUCCUUCAUGGAAAUGUGUGCAGUGGAUAUACUCAAUCACAACUGUCACAGUAUUUAUAGUCACUGGGGAAAAUAUUUUUUUAGCACACCAAGUCCACUGUCCUUUUCAUUGCUUUGUAUAUUCGUGUGUGAAUAACUGUUCUUCAGCUCUAUUAACAUGUUCAUAUGUCUUGAGAAAUGAGGUGCCUGUACCUUCGUAAUGUUUCUGAGACAUGAAUAAAUGCUGUAGUCCUCUGGGAAAAUAAUAAUUGAAAAUAAUUUGUAAUAGCUAUGAGGCCAACAUUUCUAAUGUUCAGUACAUUAGAACUUCCAUUCAACUCAAUUUUUCUUCCAAUCCAAACGACAUAAUGACACUAUCAGACCACUGAAAUCGACUCAGGUCAGCCAGGUAAUGCUCUCCUUAAAAUCACCCUGCACCUUGUUUUAUAUAAACAGUUACAUGUAUAUCAGGCACUGAUAAGUUCUUGUUGUGUUUGUGAUAUCCAUUUCAGUUUUUGCACAAUGUAUUUUGAAGAUCUGCUCCAGAGUAUUAGGAGAAAUAAAUUUCAGCUAUAAAAACAUUAAAAA